GACGAACGCUGGCGGCGUGCCUAAUACAUGCAAGUAGAACGCUGAAGAGAGGAGCUUGCUCUUCUUGGAUGAGUUGCGAACGGGUGAGUAACGCGUAGGUAACCUGCCUUGUAGCGGGGGAUAACUAUUGGAAACGAUAGCUAAUACCGCAUAACAAUGGAUGACACAUGUCAUUUAUUUGAAAGGGGCAAUUGCUCCACUACAAGAUGGACCUGCGUUGUAUUAGCUAGUAGGUGAGGUAAUGGCUCACCUAGGCGACGAUACAUAGCCGACCUGAGAGGGUGAUCGGCCACACUGGGACUGAGACACGGCCCAGACUCCUACGGGAGGCAGCAGUAGGGAAUCUUCGGCAAUAGGAGCAACCCUGACCGAGCAACGCCGCGUGAGUGAAGAAGGUUUUCGGAUCGUAAAGCUCUGUUGUAAGUCAAGAACGGGUGUGAGAGUGGAAAGUUCACACUGUGACGGUAGCUUACCAGAAAGGGACGGCUAACUACGUG
rnacentral:rRNA from 1 species